CCUGCCUGUUCGCAGCCGCAGUUCGCUUUUGCUGUUCAUUCACGAUUCUCGCUUUCCCCCCAGGUUCCACGGCGAACGCUGCCGCCGAAGAUGAGCCCUAAAUCCACAACACCUCAGAAACUCCCUCGGCCGUAGCCCCCCCCUCCUUGCCGCCAUUAUCGAAAGGGAAUCGGAAAGGCGGCCAACCCACCGGUCUCCUCUUCAUCCCGCAGGGGUCAGCAAUCUCUGCGGGUUUCCACUCGGAUCUUUCAUCCUAGGGUGAUUUUAGCCGCAUGCAGUUCCAGUGGCAGCUUGUUUAGUGCGGAGGAAUAGGAAGAGUGUCCAAGAAUCGUAAUGCGGCAUCGUUUCACGAGGAUACCCGGUGAUGAAUUGGGGUUCACUAAAUUUGUUCACUGCCAUUGGGAUUUUUGUUAGAACGCAGCGUGCAGUUGCCAUGAUGUUUCGGUGUCGGUUGUGUGCAUGAAUCACCUGCUCAUUCUACUCCGGAUUUUAUGACAAUAGGCGAGAUGAAGAACCAGAAAAUGGCGAAUGGAUCAGCACGCGGCAACAACAAGGUGUUCGACAGUUUGGCUCGCAAAGAUGUUUCAGAUAUUGAUCCGUCUUACAAGGUUUUCUUGGAAAAUCUAAUUGAAGAUGGAAGUGCGUAUCUAUUCCAUAUGCCAAAUGGGGACCAUGGCUUGCCUGCUUUCGUCAGGUAUGAAGAGGAUGAUAUGUCAUAUGGAGGCACAAAUGCCAGAGACGGCACAAAGGUCCCCAAUAAAUUGCCACACACAAGCCGGGGUGGUCCAAAUGUUAAGCGACUAGAUCAAACAUCAGGCAGGGCUUUCGAUGAUGUGGGUCAUUCCUUUCUACCAAGGACAUCAUCUUUAAAGAAGAACACCUCAGAGGUUGAUGAAUCUUAUGCAGAAUUUCUGAGCCUCUUGAAGAUCAAGGAUGGUUUCAUGGUUCUUGAGCUGGAACCAGGUGUUACUGUGGUAUAUGAGCAAGAGGAGGAGACACCCCCUGGAUAUGAUGAGUUGAGAACUUUGGUUAUGUCUGAACGUGGAAUUGAUGGGCCUGCUCCAGACAAUUUGUAUAGUCAGGAUUUAAUCUGCACAGAUGAGCAUGGACGUGUACCUUGUACUGAAUCUUCUGAUUUUAACGCAUGUGAAGAUUGUGAAGAAGCGCCUCUUGCUCUUAGUUGUGGUGCUCCUUCUACAUUUGAUGAAAAACUUGAUUCUGUUUUAAGUCGGCCAUAUGACCAAAAUGAAUACGAAGAGCUUACGAGAAAAGCCACUGACCAGAAGCCUGUGAGCAGACUAAGACAAUUGCGAAGUGGAUCCAAACGCUAUGCCACAGGAUUCGUUGGACUGUCAUAUCUUGAUCACUACCCAGGUGAUCUGGCCAAGCAAAUCGACACUGCUGACACAAAUGAGAGGCGACUGAACCUCCUGCGAAAAUUCUUCUUCUGGCUAGAGAACCUAUGCCAUGAUGGAGCACACAUGCCAUGGGUCCCCAAGGGGCUGGCCUGCGAUCCCAUCGCCACAGAUGACUGACUGAGAACCAGAACAAAGGCGGGCUCUCCAGGAUGCCACGAGACUGAAGGAGAAACAGGCAGGGUGCACCUUCCUUGCAUCGAUGCAGCAAGGCUCCUUCGAUCGGUAGCUAUGUAGAUAUGUCAACCAUGUACUUUUGUCGCGCAGCUGCAUAUGCGCGCUAGGCCAAACUGAACGAGUGAUGAUUGCUGUGGGCCAGUUGUGGUGAAGCACCAAAUUAUUUUUCUGUUUUUGUGAGGGGAAGCAUCACAGUAUCUUUGUGGUACUUGCUCUUAUGGGGAAGAGGAAGGAAAUCACUGGCCAAGAUUGCUGAGGCGACUUUCGGCCCACUGUUGAUUUCCAAUAGAAUUCAGUGGGAGAGCAAGAGCCCGUUAUUAGAAAAACAAGGAAAUAACCAUGAUACUCGAAAUAUCUCAUGUCAAGAGAUAAUAACUUACUCCCUCCAUCUCCCAAAAGAAGGUUUGUAAAUUGUAACGUUUAUGCUUAAAUUUUGUGUUGGUCAAA